rnacentral:rRNA from 1 species
UACGAAGGGGGCUAGCGUUGCUCGGAAUCACUGGGCGUAAAGCGCACGUAGGCGGACUCUUAAGUCGGUGGUGAAAUCCUGGAGCUCGACUCCAGAACUGCCUUCGAUACUGGGAGUCUCGAGUCCGGGAGAGGUGAGUGGAACUGCGAGUGUAGAGGUGAAAUUCGUAGAUAUUCGCAAGAACACCAGUGGCGAAGGCGGCGCACUGGCCCGGUACUGACGCUGAGGUGCGAAAGCGUGGGGAGCAAACAGG